CCAGCACAGACUUACCGCGAGGAUCAAUGAGGGUAAUGGGUGACAAACAUUUCAUCGAGGGCGGGAACAUGGUGAGCGCACGGGGAAGGUUCCUGCCUUUAAUGCCAUCACAGUCCCAUUUAAUACUCCUGCACCUUCACAUCGCCACUCGAGCCCCUGCACACCAUCCAGGAUCAUUUUUGUCUUUUACUCCUCGUCACAGCUGCCCACAAGUGGCUCCAGGCAGGGACCCGCGGGGCUGCAGGGCCGGGUGGCGCCAGCAUCCUCCCAGUGCCCCCGCACGCCCCGCCCCCCACGCCCAGCUUGCUAACGCCCCCGUUCCAGGCGGCUCUGUGAGAACAGCGAUAAAAACAGCAGCUCUUAAUCUCCUGCCUGCCGCCUGUGGCUUUAUCUCAGCCCCUCCUCCUGGGCUGCUGGGGGCUGGAGGGGAGAUGGGCAGAUUAAGAGCAGCGUUUCCGACAUGCCCUCCCACCUCCGGCAAAGUGGGGCCCGCCGCCAGCAGACUUCCUCAAAGCCCAGCGAGGCCGCCGGAGGAAUGCGCGGCCUCCCUGGCAUGGCAGACAUUCAAGGAGCCCACAAAGACGCUGUUAUGAAAACGCUCCCGAGCUCGGGGUAGGACGGGAGAGUUUCCUUUGCCAUCGGGAUUGCACAUUUCAAGAACAGGAGCUGGGCGACAGAAUGCACGCCUGUGAACACACACGGCUCAUAACUAAUUCAUUUCACCUCCUCCUAUUGGAAAAAUAUUGCAGGGGAUGUGGGGGGAGGGAGUGGGGCGGGCGGAACCGCUGGUCUGAACAGGUAGCUGUUUCUUUGCCUGGGGCUCAGCCUGGCUGAGAACCAACCUGUCAAAAGUGGAAGUUGAAGGUCAGGUAACUAUUGUGCCGUCAACAGCCAGCUUGGCGUUCCUCCGAGUGACCUCCCAGACUGGCCUUCUCUGCCUGCCUUCUGUGUGGUCUUUUCAUUCUUGGACAGGAUUGUCUUUGAACAGCUAAAAACCAGAAAUAGAGCUGAGGACCACAACUUAGCUACUAGGCACUUCCCGGCAACUCCUCACAUGUUCCCCUGCUCAGGAUGCCGGUGGUACCCGCCAGGGCCUGCGCCAGGGCCCCUCCCUCCCCUCAGGCACCUUACAGUCCAGCGGGGAGGGGGCAUGUCGACAGAAGAGGAUAAACUGCAUUUCGGAUCAUGAACAGACUUGCUGGUGCUAAACGGGCCUUGUUGGGUGAAACCUCCUGCCUCCCUCGAAAUCACAUUGUUUGGAUUAAACGUACAAAGACAUCAGACAAACCUACGACACCACCACAGGCCAUUAUCGCUAAUGGAUGGGAUAUGGGGUUAAGUCAGUCAAAUCCCUGCUCUGAGCCCAGAAAAGUCCAUGGAAACCAAAUCCUGGUCACCAGAUUGAAAUCGAAAUCAGGUUUAAGUAGAGAGAUGGAGAGACGAAUGGAAGGCCACUUGAACGGAUCAUUUGGGGAUCACCCUGACCCACUGCGCUGUACCCCUCCCCACAGGGGCCCCUGGAGGCCAUAUGUGAACAGUGUGGCCCUUCUCCCUGAUUGGAUGAGGAGGGAGCAUCUAACCCCAGAAGGGCCAGAGUCCUUGCUGGGGUUUCUAGAAGAGAGAGUAGGGGGCAGGCAGACAGACUGAGGCAGCACGUGGCCGAACUGGGAGAUGUGGGCGGCCAUAUUGGGUGUCACGUGGGCUGAGUCGUAGCCAAAGCUAAAGAAAGGGAACAAAGAGGUCACAGGACGAUCCACAGGAGAGACAACGGGAAAGCUCUUCGGUGGCUUCUCAGCCUCCUGCAGCCCCUGGUUCUGGUCGCUGAGGCUCUGUGCCUCCUAGGAGACAUUGCCCGCUUUUGUUCCAGCAAGCUCACGGUCUUCUCUCACUCACAUCCAUACAAGGGAGAACUAUGCAGCCAAUGUUGUGGAUGAAUAUUUAUUAACAGGAAAAAUGUACACAAGGAUAUUGUUGAGUGCAGGAGGCACGUUUCUUGCCUCCCUUCCACAGAUUCUUAUUGGGCACCUCCUAUGAGUCAGAUGCUCCCUAUUCACUGGGGAGUGAGCUCAUUGUCCCUGUCACAUUUAUGGUCUGGUUACAGAAUGUCAAGUAAGAUCCCACUUUAGUAAAGAGAUGUGCAACUGGCAUGUGAUGGGUUUCACACCUGGGGGAGCAAAUGGAGCGCCUUUAAAACAGUCUCAAAACCAGCGCUGCGCCGAGUGUGGUCUGUGGCCCCCCAGCAGGGGCGUCACCUGGGAGCCUGUGAGAAAUGCACACUUGGCUCCAGCCCAGACCCCUCGGGGGUGGGCCCAGCAAUCUGUGCUUUAACAAGCCUUCCAGGUGAUUCUGAGACACUCUCGAGUUUGAGAACCACUGCCCCAAAAUGCAAAAGUUCAAGGUCCCACCUCCCAAGUUAACAAGAAUUUCCAGCUUUUCCCAGGGCACCCCUUCCCAAAUGCUGUG
ensembl:lncRNA